UACAACAAAACAAAAUACUAUCUGGUCCUGCAUCAUCCUCACAUGGCAUGCAUGGUGUCUUAGUCAUCUAGUGGUGCCAUAACAGAAAUACCACAAGUGGAUGGCUUUAACAAAGAGAAAUUAAUUUUCUCGCAGUCUAGUAGGUUACAAGUCCAAAUUCAGGGCAUCAACUCCAGGGGAAGGCUUUCUCUCUCUGUCGGCUCUAGAGGAAGGUCCUUGUCCUCAAUCUUCCCCUGGUCAAGGAGCAUCUCAGCACAGGAACCUGAGGUCCAAUGGAUGCACUCUGCUCCUGGCACUACUUUCUUGGUGGUAUGAGGUCCCCAACUCUGUGCUUGCUUCCCUUUCCUUUUAUCUCUUGAGGGAUAAAAGGUGAUGCAGGCCACACUCCAGAGAAACUCCCUUUACCUUGGAUCAGGGAGUAAGGGUAGUGUUAUAAUCCCACCCUAAUCCUCUCAACAUAAAAUUACAAUCACAAAAUGGAAUUCAAACACACAAUGCUGGGAAUCAUGGCCUAACCAAGCUGACACAUAUUUUGGGGGAACACAAUUCAAUCCAUUAUACUUGAGAAAAGGGAAAGAGCUAAGAAGAAAGGACCUUUGUUCAGGCCAUAUGGCCUGGUCACCUUAUUAUCAGGGGAUGUCCUUUGUUCAGGUGCACACAACAUAGCCAUCCUUUGAGCAAGGUGCAUAACCAGAAAGAACAUUUUUCCCCCUUUAGCUGCAAGAUUAAUUUUGUAAGACUGCAUUUUCUGAUUAAUGAUGCAGUGGAUUAGAAAAACACUGAAGGGUCAGUUCCCCAUGGGACACACUCCUUUCUUUCUUUUGUAAAUAUUUUAUUGUGUUUUUGCUGAAGGUUUAUGUAGCAGUUAGGGCUCUCGUUCAACAAUUCCUACACAAGUUGUUCUUUGACAUUGGUUACAUUCUUCACAAUGCCUGAACAUUCUCAUUAUUUCUGUUCUGGUUGAUUCAUUUCCUUUAAUCUAGUUUCCCUGCCCCCUUACAUUCUUAUCUUUGUUUUAAAGUAAUUAUUUACCACUUAGUCUCAGAUAGGUGAUUUUUUUAAAUGAGCACAGUACUUAUGGGUUACAGUCAUUACUUUUUGAGCCAAUUUGUUAUUUAGCUACAAGGUGACCUCAGGGGUUAGUUCCAGCUCAAGGUUUGAAGAGUAUCUUGCAGCAAUAAUCUCGAGGAGUCCUGCAGUCUCAACCAGCCCAAAAUGUCAGUUUUGUUUUGUUUUGUGUUUGUUUAGGAAUUUGAAGUCCUGUUCCACAUUAUUCUCCCAUUCUAUUAGGAUCCAUCUGUUGUGGCCCAUGGGGCACAUUCUUUGAUAUUAUCGUAGUCAUGGAGAUGGUGAGGUUACAUAGGUGUCAUAUGGUGCCUGCACAUGAGUAAGAGACAGAGAAAGUUACUGUGAGCCCAUAAGAAGAAGGAAGGCUUCUCUGAUAAGGGGAAGGGACUGAGAGAAAGAACCAAUUCCCAACCUCCUUAUUAGAGAAUAUUCUGGGCCCAAGGCUUCAGCUUAGGCAGCCCAGAUGGGAAUUGUAGAGGCAGGCUGUCCUCCUAACAUUCCCUAAUAAAGUUCAAGUCUAUCAGCCCCCUCCACACAAGAGAAACUUACCAAACAGGAAUAUGGGUGGGGGUGGAAUGAGUUGUUACUUUUCUGCCAGUUCUGAAAGCCACAGCAAAGACACAGCUACAACAGUACAGUGGAGAAGAAGGAAAUAGACAAAGACCUUGGACUUGUUAAUCUAAGGCUUUGAAUAGCCUUUCCCUUCAGAAGUAUCAACCCCACCCCCUUCCCACUCCUGAACUCUGCUCUCUCUCCCCAGAGUCCUUCCAUCCCUAUUUAUCCAGUCAUCCUCAAAAUCCAGACCAUUAUAUGAAAAAUUCUCCUACUAAAGGUCAGAAAAGAUGUAUAGUAGGGCCGGAAGAGACUACUGAUCAAAGAGUAUCUUUAACAUUUUCUAAACAACAAUACAAUGUAAUGCCCUAGAUUGAGAACUUGUCUUUGAGUCCAAUCUCCAAUCCAUUCAUUCACUUCCUGUGAAGCUAGGACAAUCCCAUGGCCUUCAGUGAGCCUCCCUGUCACCUCCUGUUAAAAACAGUGAUAGAAAUCCAUGCCUGCUGAUCUCAUGUGGUUGUUGCAAAUAGCAACAUUAUAUGCAAGCCCCAAAGGCUUUAAAAAUCAUAUGACACAUACUUCCCAAGUGUCUCUGUCUACCAAGGGUUCUUGCAGUUUGGCUGAGCCUAAGCAGAAAAGCAUUAUGGAUCUUCCACAGCAGGGAGAAUGGCUCAGUCCAGGUGACAGGUCCUACUUCCAGCCCAGGGAAUGUGGAAAUCACUGAAGCCAGCCAGGACCCACUGCAGAGCAUGGAGGGGGCAGGACUAAAUCUACAAGACUGGGUUGUGUGAUAAGCCAAUCUCUUUUGAGAUAUAAAAGAGAGAAAUGAGUAGAGAGGCAUGGGGACUUCAUACCACCAAUAAACAAGAGCCAGGAGAAAAGCAUAUCCUUUGGGCCUGAGGUCCCCAUGCUGAGAAGCUCAUCUACUGGGGAAGAUUGACUACAAGUACCUGCCCCCAGAGCCAACGGAGAGAAAAAGCCUUCUCCUGGAGCUGGUGCCCUGAAUUCAGACUUCUAGUCUCCUAGACUGUGAGAGAAUAAACAUCUGUUUGUUGAAGCCAUCCACUUGUGGUUUUUCUGUUAUAGCAACACUAGAUAACUAAGAGUUAUGUUUUCAGUUUCAUUUGACUCUAAGUAUUUUCUGAUUUCAUUUUUGAUUUCUACCUUGAACCAUUGGUUGUUUAAUGGUAGUGUGCUGUUUAAUUUCCACUUUUAUGUAUUUUCCAGGGUUUUUUUUUUCUGUUAUUGGCUUCUAGUUUCACUCCACUGUGCUCAGACAAAAUAUAUUGCAUGAUUUCAAAAUUUUCAAAUUUAUCAAGACUUGCUUUAUAAGUUAACAUGCGGCCUAUCUUGGAGAAUGAUCCAUGUGCCUGGAGUAGAAUGUAUAUUGUGCUGUUGUUGGGUGAAGUAGUCUAUAUAUGUCUCUCAUGUCUAGCAGGUUUAUAGUGUCAUUCAGGUUCUCUGUUCCUUGCUGAUCUCCUUUCUAAAUGUUCUUUCUAAUAUUGAAAGUGGUGUAUUGAAGUCUCCACUAUUUCUCCCUUCAAUUCUAUCAGUGUUUUCUUUAUAUAUUUAGGUGCUGUGAUGUUGGAGCCCUAGUGGCAUAGUGGUUAAGAGCUCAGCUGCUAACCAAAAGGUCGGUAGUUCAAAUCCAUCAGAUUCUCCUUGGAAACCCUAUAGGGCAGUUCUGUCCUAUAGGAUGGCUAUGAGUCAGAACUGACUCGAUGGCACCUAACAACAACUGAUGUUGGGUGCAUAUGUAUUCAUAAUUAUUAAACUUUCUUGAUGAAUUUACCCUUUUAUCAUUAAUGUCUUAGACUGGGUUCUCUAUAGAAGCAAAACCAGUGAAGCAUAUGUAUGUAUAUAUAUAUAGACAGAGAGAGAGAGAUUUAUCUCAAGGAAAUCAUGCAGUUGUAGAGGCUAGAGGCUUCUCCUGACUCACACAGCUGCAGGGACUGGCAAACCUAACAUCAUGUUCAUGGGCUGUGGAGGCUGAUGAAUCAAAGAUCAGCAGGUAAGACAGCAGGUUGCUGGCACACAAGCUGCAGAUGCUGAUGAAUUCCAGGAUCAGCAGACAAUACAGCAGGCCACUAGCUCAAGUCCCAAG